UCUUCACGGCUGUAUUGGUGUUUCAGGUGGAAUGUCACGUCCUACCCGGUGCUGAGCAGCAGGUACGUGGCAGUGAGAGAGAGGAAUAUGCUGAGGAGUCGAUGGAAGAGACGAGUAGAGCUCAACAAUGGAACCAGUAUAGACGAGCCUGAGAAGAGAGAGGGAAUUCGAAGGUGUCAAGUUGGGAUGAAUCUCAUGUCCUCAUGUUGCGCUCGCUCACGCCCACCUACCUAGCGUGGUCCAGCUGAUGAUCUGAUUGAGAAGCGGCAGGCCCUGCUUCUGCUGCAGGCUGGAGUGUGUGAGGGACGGCACGUAGGCGCACACUGCCACAUGGAGCAUCUGUGGAGUUUUGUCAGGAGCCAUAAUCUUUGACAUGGUUACCUUGGCCUUCCCGAAAAGUCCCGACAUGAAGGGCCAGAUAGAGAGGACAGCCAGGCCCACAGUCAGCAUGGCGCGAUGGAAGAAGCUCACCACCUGGGGGCAGCAAAGGUGGUGACGACUGUCGCUGCAGUGGCGAGACCGGCAGGUGUGGUGCUGACUGUUUACCAAAUUGUGUUUCCCAUUGCUGAAUCCGCAAUGUUUAAGCUACAUUGCACCUUGUAGGUAUCCAUCGUCAUACAGUUGGGGUUCAGUGACUCUACGAGCCCUUUGGACUCCAGCUCCCCACACCACUAGCGGAGUGAGCGUCUCAGAGGGAUGCCCUGCACCGUGAGAGCCUGCAACAAAACACACAAAUUUUGUCAUGCCAUGAUCAGAGGUGAACACGUAGGCUGUUCUGCCAUCAUAACCAAAGAAUUCCUCCACUAUGGACACCAGCUCAGCCACACCAGUGUCAACUAAACCAAUGUUGUCCAGGUACUCCCUGAAGACACAGUAUACAUGUAAAUACACAAGAGAUAUCCGACCUGACUGCUGAAUUAAAUGCUGCUUAGAAGGAAUAUGUUAUUAAAUUUGUUUAAAUGUAGAGUGCAAUCAAAUUGAAUAUGAACUGCAACAAGGAAUCUGAAAAAAACGUGUCACAUACGGUGACAUUGGUCUGUGAGCGUGGCCGUUUGUGUCGAUGCCGAGCAGAUGCAGGAAGAAGACGUUCUUAUCCUCCAGCAAAUUGUCCCUCAGACUGGAGUUAGACUUUGCCGUCUGAAAGAACGACUGUAGGAAGAAAGACAAAUAAAUCGGAUUUAUUCAAGAGAGCGAUGAGGAAAUCCCCACUACAGA